CCAAUAGCGUAUAUUAAAGUUGUUGCAGUUAAAAAGCUCGUAGUUGAAUUUCGGGGCCAGUAGGUCGGUCGUGCCACUGGUAUGCACUGGUCUCACUGGUCCCUCCUUCUUGUAGAACCGUGAUGGCAUUAAUUUGUUGUUGCGGGGAAACAGGACUGUUACUUUGAAAAAAUUAGAGUGCUUAAAGCAGGCUCGCGCUUGAAUACAUUAGCAUGGAAUAACGAAAUAGGACGAUCGAACCUAUUUUGUUGGUUUCUAGGAUCGACGUAAUGAUUAAUAGGGAUAGUUGGGGGCAUUAGUAUUCAAUUGUCAGAGGUGAAAUUCUUGGAUUUAUUGAAGACUAACUACUGCGAAAGCAUUUGCCAAGGAUGUUUUCAUUAAUCAAGAACGAAAGUUAGGGGAUCGAAGACGAUCAGAUACCGUCGUAGUCUUAACCAUAAACUAUGCCGACUAGGGAUCGGAUGAAGUUAAUUUUUUAAUGACUCAUUCGGCGCCUUAC
rnacentral:rRNA from 1 species